rnacentral:rRNA from 1 species
UUAGAUAUUACACAGANCACCGAUAGCGAAGGCAUAUUACUAACAAUUUAUUGACGCUGAUGGACGAAAGCGUGGGGGGCGAACAGGAUUAGAUACCCUGGUAGUCCACGCUGUAAACGAUGGAUACUAGCUGUUUGGAGCAAUCUGAGUGGCUAAGCGAAAGUGAUAAGUAUCCCACCUGGGGAGUACGCACGCAAGUGUGAAACUCAAAGGAAUUGACGGGGGCCCGCACAAGCGGUGGAGCAUGUGGUUUAAUUCGAUGAUACGCGAGGAACCUUACCAAGGUUUAAAUGGGAACUGACAGAGGUAGAGAUACCUCCUUCUUCGGACAGUUUUCAAGGUGCUGCAUGGUUGUCGUCAGCUCGUGCCGUGAGGUGUCAGGUUAAGUCCUAUAACGAGCGCAACCCCUGCCAUUAGUUGCUAACGAGUCAAGUCGAGCCCUCUAGUGGGACUGCCGGUGCAAACCGUGAGGAAGGUGGGGAUGACGUCAAAUCAUCACGGCCCUUACAUCUUGGGCUACACACGUGCUACAAUGGCCGUUACAGAGAGCAGCCACUGCGUGAGCAGGAGCGAAUCUAUAAAGACGGUCACAGUUCGGAUCGGAGUCUGCA